rnacentral:rRNA from 1 species
UACGUAGGGUGCGAGCGUUAAUCGGAAUUACUGGGCGUAAAGCGUGCGCAGGCGGUUUUGUAAGUCAGAUGUGAAAUCCCCGGGCUUAACCUGGGAACUGCGUUUGAAACUACAAGGCUAGAGUGUGGCAGAGGGGGGUGGAAUUCCACGUGUAGCAGUGAAAUGCGUAGAUAUCUGGAGGAACACCGGUGGCGAAGGCGGCAUCCUGGACCAAUACUGACGCUGAGGAGCGAAAGCCAGGGGAGCAAAGCGGG